UGGGUAAGCAUAAAUGCUGAAAUCGGGCCACAGCCGAAUAUGUGAGCUAGGGUUUUUUUUUUUCUAAAUGCAAGUGUUUGAUAUCUUUCUAGACAUUGCGGAAUUUAAAGAACGAGAGAAGGUAAGUUGGAAGAGAAGAAAUGGCCGGAGGACAAUUCCAGGCAUUAAAUUCCCUCGAAGACACGCGAAAUCUUCAUGCUCAGGUUCCAUUUCUGAAACUCAAGCAGCAUCAAGUAGCAAAGAGUUAAUCAGUUUUCAAUAUCAAGGUCAGAUGUAGCAGCACCACCCCUAACACUGCUUUCGGAGGCAAAGCUUCUCUUCAGCCUAAGCACACGCCAGUCUAUGAGAGAGAAAUAGAGGCCAUUCUGGCAACUAUUAUUGUACUUCAUUUAUUUUGAUAUGAUGCCAAAGAAUUCCUCAAGUCAUUUCUUCAGUGCGUUUUUCCAAGUGUAAACACAAGACCAAGGAAAACCAUUAGGUGAAGUUCCACGAGGAUUGCUCCAAAUUAAAAGUGAAAUUCUGAUAGAGAGCAAAUCUAGAUACGCAGCAGAGCAUAGCUGCAGUUUGUAGCUUCUUGCAUAAUUUACAUGCUAUCCCAAAAAUCCCACUCUUGUUCCAAUUAAACAAGAACAACCAAGUAGGAUCAUUUAAGCA